rnacentral:RNase_P_RNA from 1 species
GCUACAAGCCAGGCUAUCGCAUCUUAUUAAUUUAAGAGGAGGAAAGUCCGGACAGCACAGAGCAAUGCACCGGUGAAUAGCCGGCCUCCGUCUCGCUUUAAGCGAGACGGUGAGAGAGAGUGCCACAGAAAAUAACUACCUCAGCAAUGAGGAAAGAUGAAAACGUAGGGUAAGAGCCUACGGCCUUUGAUGGUAACAUCAUCGGCGGGUAAACCUUGCAUGCUGAAAUGCCACAUAUAGUAUCGUUUGAGGGCGGCUCGUCCGAGAUACAGGGUAGGCAGCUUGAUUCCCGCAGGUAACUGCGGAACAGAUAAAUGAUAGCCCACGACAGAAUCCGGCUUACCAGCUUGUAGCUUUU